rnacentral:rRNA from 1 species
UGGGGAAUUUUGGACAAUGGGCGAAAGCCUGAUCCAGCAAUGCCGCGUGUGUGAAGAAGGCCUUCGGGUUGUAAAGCACUUUUGUCCGGAAAGAAAUCCUUGGCUCUAAUACAGUCGGGGGAUGACGGUACCGGAAGAAUAAGCACCGGCUAACUACGUGCCAGCAGCCGCGGUAAUACGUAGGGUGCAAGCGUUAAUCGGAAUUACUGGGCGUAAAGCGUGCGCAGGCGGUUUGCUAAGACCGAUGUGAAAUCCCCGGGCUCAACCUGGGAACUGCAUUGGUGACUGGCAGGCUAGAGUAUGGCAGAGGGGGGUAGAAUUCCACGUGUAGCAGUGAAAUGCGUAGAGAUGUGGAGGAAUACCGAUGGCGAAGGCAGCCCCCUGGGCCAAUACUGACGCUCAUGCACGAAAGCGUGGGGAGCAAACAGGAUUAGAUACCCUGGUAGUCCACGCCCUAAACGAUGUCAACUAGUUGCCGGGUCUUCAUUGACUUGGUAACGUAGCUAACGCGUGAAGUUGACCGCCUGGGGAGUACGGUCGCAAGAUUAAAACUUAAAUGAAUUGACGGGGUCAUAGCUGUUUCC